rnacentral:rRNA from 1 species
GAUGAACGCUAGCUACAGGCUUAACACAUGCAAGUCGAGGGGAAACGACAUCGAAAGCUUGCUUUUGAUGGGCGUCGACCGGCGCACGGGUGAGUAACGCGUAUCCAACCUGCCCACCACUUGGGGAUAACCUAGCGAACGUAAGACUACUACCCAAUCAUAACUCUAGAAGACAUCUGAAAGGGAUUAAAGAUUUAUCGGGUAUGUAUGGGGAUGCAUCUGAGUAGCUUGGUGGCAGGGUAACGGCCCACCAAGGCGACGAUCAGUAGGGGUUGUGAGAGGAAGGUCCCCCACAUUGGAACUGAGACACGGUCCAAACUCCUACGGGAGGCAGCAGUGAGGAAUAUUGGUCAAUGGACGAGAGUCUGAACCAGCCAAGUAGCGUGCAGGAUGACGGCCCUAUGGGUUGUAAACUGCUUUUAUAAGGGAAUAAAGUGAGUCUCGUGAGACUUUUUGCAUGUACCUUAUGAAUAAGGACCGGCUAAUUCCGUGCCAGCCGCCGCCGUAA